AUGAACGCUGGCGGCGUGCCUCAUACAUGCAGGUCGAGCGAACAGACGAGAGUGCUUGCACUCUCUGACGUUAGCGGCGGACGGGUGAGUAACACGUGGGUAACCUACCUAUAAGACUGGGAUAACUUCGGGAAACCGGAGCUAAUACCGGAUAAUAUUUAGCUUCGCAUGAAGCAAUAGUGAAAGACGGUUCUGCUGUCACUUAUAGAUGGACCCGCGGUGUAUUAGCUAGUUGGUGAGGUAACGGCUCACCAAGGCAACGAUACAUAGCCGACCUGAGAGGGUGAUCGGCCACACUGGGACUGAGACACGGCCCAGACUCCUACGGGAGGCAGCAGUAGGGAAUCUUCCGCAAUGGACGAAAGUCUGACGGAGCAAUGCCGCGUGAGUGAAGAAGGUUUUCGGAUCGUAAAACUCUGUUGUAAGGGAAGAACAAGUACGUUAGUAACUGAACGUACCUUGACGGUACCUUACCAGAAAGCCACGGCUAACUACGUG
rnacentral:rRNA from 1 species